GGGGGGAGCGGGAUCCUCGGGCUCGUUCCCUCCUCCCGGCUGAGGCGGCGGCGGCCGGUGGCAUCCGGAGCCAUCCGCUGCGACGUUCUGUCUUUUUCCAUGUUCUGGUGAAGGACUUCAUACAUUAAAGGGACUGGCAAGAAUAACCACAUUAACUGUACUCCUGUGACCUACAGGUGAAUUUCACAAUAGACCAGAUGCUACCAAUCCUGGAUAAGGCCAAGAUCAGGAAUAUAUGGGUGGUUGCUCAUGCUAAUCAUGGCAAAUCAACCUUGACAGACUCCUCGGUGUGUAAAGCAGGCACCAUUGCAUCAGACAAAGCCAAAGAAACAUGGUUCACAGACACACAGGAAAAUGAGCAAGAAAGAUCACAAUCAA